rnacentral:rRNA from 1 species
AUUGAACGCUGGCGGCAGGCUUAACACAUGCAAGUCGGGCGGGCGAGGUUGCUUCGGUAACUGAGCUAGCGGCGGACGGGUGAGUAAAGCUUAGGAAUCUGCCUAUUAGUGGGGGACAACAUUCCGAAAGGAAUGCUAAUACCGCAUACGCCCUACGGGGGAAAGCAGGGGAUCUUCGGACCUUGCGCUAAUAGAUGAGCCUAAGUCAGAUUAGCUAGUUGGUGGGGUAAGGGCCUACCAAGGCGACGAUCUGUAGCGGGUCUGAGAGGAUGAUCCGCCACACUGGGACUGAGACACGGCCCAGACUCCUACGGGAGGCAGCAGUGGGGAAUAUUGGACAAUGGGCGAAAGCCUGAUCCAGCCAUGCCGCGUGUGUGAAGAAGGCCUUUUGGUUGUAAAGCACUUUAAGCGAGGAGGAGGCUACUUGGAUUAAUACUCUAGGAUAGUGGACGUUACUCGCAGAAUAAGCACCGGCUAACUCUGUGCCAGCCGCCGCCGAAAAAC